GCAUAUCAAUAAGCGGAGGAAAAGAAACCAACAGGGAUUGCCCUAGUAACGGCGAGCGAAGCGGCAACAGCUCAAAUUUGAAAUCUGGCUAUUUUGUAGUCCGAGUUGUAAUUUGUAGAGGAUGCUUUUGGUGAGGUGCCUUCCGAGUUCCCUGGAACGGGACGCCAGAGAGGGUGAGAGCCCCGUACGGUUGGAUACCAAACCUUUGUAUAGCUCCUUCGACGAGUCGAGUAGUUUGGGAAUGCUGCUCUAAAUGGGAGGUAUAUCUCUUCUAAAGCUAAAUAUAGGCUAGAGACCGAUAGCGCACAAGUAGAGUGAUCGAAAGAUGAAAAGCACUUUGAAAAGAGAGUUAAACAGCACGUGAAAUUGUUGAAAGGGAAGCGCCUAUGACCAGACUUGUUUCUUUCAGUUUUGUUAGUUUUCGGACUGAUUUACUCUGUUAGUACAGGCCAGCAUCAGUUUGUUGUCAGGGAGAAAGGCUUAGGGAAUGUGGCUCUUUCGGGAGUGUUAUAGCCCUUUGCAUAAUACCUUUCGGCAGACUGAGGACCGCGCUUCGGCAAGGAUG
rnacentral:rRNA from 2 species